AAUGUACUCUACCUAUAUUUUUACUUUAUAUUUACCAUGUAUAUUUUCAUGUAUACUUGGCAUAAGUGCUUUAUAGUAGUCACCUAAUUCACUGUCAUCUUUUUUGUUUCUUGGAAGGUUUCUAUUACAACUGGUUGGUAUUCUUUUAGAAGACAUUGUUACAAAACAGCUGAAGGUGGAAAUGAGUGAGCAGCAACAUACUUUCUAUUGCCAAGAACUAGGCACACUGCUAAUGUGUCUGAUCCACAUCUUCAAGUCUGUGUCAGAACCUCCAUGACUCCGAGCACUUAACGUGGCUCAUUGUAAAUCACAUUCAAGAUCUGAUCAGCCUUUCCCACGAGCCUCCAGUACAGGACUUCAUCAGUGCCGUUCAUCGGAACUCUGCUGCCAGCGGCC
rnacentral:lncRNA from 1 species